CUCCCCCUCACGCUGUUCUCCUCCCUCGCAUAUCGCUGUUCUCCCCCCUCCUUGCGCCGACAUGACCAUCAUCGUCAAAUUGGUUGGAUUGACAAGCUAUUCCGGCGCCGGCGUUCAGGUUCAUACGGACUAGUAGAUUUGGGGAGUGGCUUAGGGUAUGGCAUGAUUGCUUUCUCUUUGUUCAGUUCCUUGGGCUCCUGGUGGUUCUAAAGUUUUCCGAAACCCAGCACCACCUUCUGGAUCAAGGCGAAGGGGAAGGACCCCGACAAUUUAGAGAUUUGGAUAUCCAGUUGGAUACAAGCCAAGGGAGCAGACAAUUAACAAACCGAAGAUAUAUUGACAUAUUUGCAGAAUGAGCUAAACAAGAUUCCCUCGGAAGGGCGGACUCCGGCUGUUCGAGAGACUCUUUACUGACGGGCUAUUGGGGGAAAGAGCAAAAAGCGCUCAAAGGUUUACAGUGCCACGAGUUCAGCUCAUCCCCGUAAUGAUGCAACUGAUUUAACAAAUAAUGUAGCAUUCCAGCAAGGGUGGGAAGAAAUGUAGAGCGGAUUUGCAGAGUUGAAGACAACGAUGGCUGAGUUCAAAACCAUCAAGGCUGAUGUGUAUGCAUUCAUGCACAAAAAAUCCGGAGUAGUUAGUGGUCCAUCUCUAAGUAUUCUUAAUAUUCACUAGGAUCUACUUAUUCUUGAUAGGCCACAGCUCGUGUUGAUACGGUCUCUGAAUUCUCAAGCCUGUGUCCGAAUCACCUAU